AUGUUCCUUUCCAUCCUCACAGGUGUCAUCUGUGAAGAACUCACUCCAGUAGAGAAAGAAGAGAACAGUUUAGAAGGCAGCUCUGUUACUCUGUCCUACAGAUCCUCCGAAAAAGCUGAUACCAAUGAUUAUUUCUUCUGGUAUCGCCAAUAUCCAGGAAAACCACCAGAGUUCAUCAUAUUCAUCUCAGGGAUGAACAUUACAAAAAAAGCUGAAUCUCUGACAUUGGACACAAGGUUCUCUACUAAACUGUCUGAAGAAAAGCAUCGUGUGGAUCUGCAGAUCUCCUCAGCUGCAGUGACAGACUCUGCUCUGUACUACUGUGCUGUGAGGCCCACAGUGACAGCAAACCCACAGUCUCUGUACAAAAACACAAGCUGACACACUGACAAGCUGCUGGAAGACUUUUUUCUACACUGUUGUACUGAACUUUGUACCUCCACUAGAGGGCGACAUUAUCAAGUAGGAGGUGCACUACUUCUGCACUGUGUUCAACCAUUCAGUCAAUAAUAAGUGCUGCUGUGAAGAGAACAAUUCUCAGACUGAAUGUUGAACAUCAGCUAGU